GGUUGGUUUUGAUUUGGAGACAGGGAUGAGACAGAGCAUGGGAUGGGGCCAUCAACAAAGUGGAGGGACUAGCUUGCGAGGCAGAAAGAAGGUGCCAGUGCCGGUGCCUCCCCGGUGAAACGAUGAUGGGAGUGUUGUUGCUCCCUCCCCUGCACUGCCUCUUCCCUGGCUCCGAUCCCCCACCGUUGC
rnacentral:pre_miRNA from 7 species